rnacentral:rRNA from 1 species
UACGUAGGGGGCAAGCGUUGUCCGGAUUUAUUGGGCGUAAAGAGCGUGUAGGCGGCCAGACAGGUCCGUUGUGAAAACUCGAGGCUCAACCUCGAGACGCCGAUGGAAACCGUCUGGCUAGAGUCCGGAAGAGGAGAGUGGAAUUCCUGGUGUAGCGGUGGAAAUGCGCAGAUAUCAGGAAGAACACCCGUGGCUAAGGCGGCUCUCUAGUACGGUACUGACGCUGAGACGCGAAAGCGUGGGGAGCGAACAGG